rnacentral:sRNA from 1 species
CUUAGUCCCUCUAGGUGGUUGAGUUUAGAAUAUUAGAGUCUCUUCUGGAUUAGUUGCGCUUAUUGUUUGUUCCUUCUUGAUCAACAUGAAUAUGAAUCAAGAUAUUCCCGCACUCAGAAGGUGUUUGAUGGAAUGUCGGAUCUAUUAAUUCCAAUGAUAUUCGUCUCUAUCCCAAGGGAUUGGCCGUUUAGAGCGGGUAUU